rnacentral:rRNA from 1 species
GGGGCGAAGAUAAGAUGAUUACGGCGGACGGGUGAGUAACACGUGAGUAACCUGCCUUAGACAUUGGGAUAGCCUCGGGAAACCGGGAUUAAUACCAAAUGAAAUCACAUAUGCACAUGCAUAAAUGAUCAAAGCUCCGGCGGUCUAAGAUGGACUCGCGUCCCAUUAGCUAGUUGGUGAGGUAACGGCCCACCAAGGCGACGAUGGGUAGCCGGCCUGAGAGGGUGAACGGCCACAUUGGAACUGAGAAACGGUCCAAACUCCUACGGGAGGCAGCAGUGGGGAAUAUUGCACAAUGGAGGGAACUCUGAUGCAGCGACGCCGCGUGAACGAAGAAGGCUUUCGAGUCGUAAAGUUCUUUUAUAUGGGAAGAUAAUGACGGUACCAUAAGAAAAAGCCCCGGCUAACUACGUGCCAGCAGCCGCGGUAAUACGUAGGGGGCUAGCGUUGUCCGGAAUCACUGGGCGUAAAGGGUUCGCAGGCGGAAAUGCAAGUCAGAUGUAAAAGGCAGUAGCUUAACUACUGUAAGCAUUUGAAACUGCAUAUCUUGAGAAGAGUAGAGGUAAGUGGAAUUUUUAGUGUAGCGGUGAAAUGCGUAGAUAUUAAAAAGAAUACCGGUGGCGAAGGCGACUUACUGGGCUCAUUCUGACGCUGAGGAACGAAAGCGUGGGUAGCAAACAGGAUUAGAUACCCUGGUAGUCCACGCUGUAAACGAUGAGUGCUAGGUAUCGGAAUAAUUCGGUGCCGCAGUUAACACAUUAAGCACUCCGCCUGGGGAGUACGUGCGCAAGCA